rnacentral:rRNA from 1 species
GAUUAACGCUGGCGGCGUGCAUAACACAUGCAAGUCGAACGAUGAAACUUUAAUGAACUCUUCGGGGAGAAUUAAAGCGGAUUAGUGGCGAACGGGUGAGUAACGCGUGCGUAUCCUGCCUUACUCACGGGGAUAGCCUUUGGAAACGAAGAAUAAUACCCUAUAAAACAAUACAAGCACAUGCAAUUCUUGUCAAAGUGAUAGCGGUGUAAGGUGGACUUGCGUCUGAUUAGCUAGUUGGUGAGCUAAAAGCCCACCAAGGCAACGAUCAGUAGCCGGCUCGAGAGAGUGUACGGCCACAUUGGGACUGAGACAAGGCCCAGACACCGGCGAGAGGCAGCAGUGGGGAAUUUUGCACAAUGGGGGAAACCCUGAUGCAGCGACGCCGCGUGAUUUAGAAGGCCUUCGGGUUGUAAAAAUCUUUUGUAUAGGAAGAAAAUGACAGUACUAUAAGAAUAAGGACCGGCUAAUUACGUG